GUCUACGGCCAUACCACCCUGAACGGCGCCCGAUCUCGUCUGAUCUCGGAAGCUAAGCAGGGUCGGGCCCGGUUGUAGUACUUGGAUGGGAGGACCGCCUGGGAAUACCGGGGUGCUGUAGGCU
rnacentral:rRNA from 1 species